rnacentral:tRNA from 1 species
UAAUAAUUAAUAAAUUAAUAUAUUUAACUUAAAUUUAAAUAAAUAAUAAUAUUUAAAUAAUAUAAAUAAUAU